GUGAGGAAUAUUGGUCAAUGGGCGAGAGCCUGAACCAGCCAAAUCGCGUGAAGGAUGAAGGUAUUAUGUAUUGUAAACUUCUUUUAUCGGGGAAUAAAGUGCGGGACGUGUCCCGUUUUGUAUGUACCCGAAGAAUAAGGAUCGGCUAACUCCGUGCCAGCAGCCGCGGUAAUACGGAGGAUCCAAGCGUUAUCCGGAUUUAUUGGGUUUAAAGGGUGCGUAGGCGGACUGUCAAGUCAGCGGUGAAAGUCCAUGGCUCAACCAUGGAAUUGCCGUUGAAACUGUCGGUCUUGAGUGUAGAUGAGGUAGGCGGAAUUCGUAGUGUAGCGGUGAAAUGCUUAGAUAUUACGAAGAACUCCAAUUGCGUAGGCAGCUUACCAGGCUACAACUGACGCUGAGGCACGAAGGUGCGGGGAUCAAACAGGAUUAGAAACCCCUGUAGUCC
rnacentral:rRNA from 1 species